CUGCGAUCGCGUGUGGAAGCGCCGUAGCUCAUCGGAUAAAAGGUACCCCGGGGAUAACAGGCUUAUCGCUCCCGAGCGUCCAUAGCGGCGGAGCGGUUUGGCACCUCGAUGUCGGCUCAUCGCAUCCUGGGGCUGAAGGCGGUCCCAAGGGUUAGGCUGUUCGCCUAUUAAAGCGGUACGCGAGCUGGGUUCAGACCGGCGUGAGCCAGGUCGGUCCCUAUCUGCUGUGGGCGUUGCAAACUUGAGAGGAGUCAACUUUAGUACGAGAGGAUUAGGUUGGACUGACCCCUGGUGAUCCUGUUGGGCUGCUAAGCCCAUCGCAGGGUAGCUACGUCGGGCAGGGAUAACAGCUGAAAGCAUCUAAGCAGGAAGCCCCCCUCAAGAUCAGGUUUGCUUGUCUUGUACGUGAGACCCCUGGGAGACUACCAGGUUGAUAGGCCGCAGGUGUAAGGGUUGAGAAGCCCUCAGCUGAGCGGUACUAACGGUCGAAGGUU
rnacentral:rRNA from 1 species